CUCCGGCUGCCGUAGGACCGCGGGGCCGCCGCUCCGUCGGCGACAUCUUGGUGGAGGACGCGCGGCGGGGAAAAGGCCGCUCGCGCCGGAGCCGCGGCGCCGCGAUCUCCGCUGACCUCGGGACGCGCGGGAGCGUCCGCCCGCCGGUCCGGGCGGGGCUCCGGGUUUGAACGGCGCGGCGGGCCGCGCCUGGGAGUCGGGGCCCGUAGGCGGCGGCGGCGGCGGCGGCACCAUGUCCCCGGGCAGCGGGGUGCAGAGCGAGUACAUGAAGCGCUACCGGGAGCCGCGCUGGGACGAGUACGCGCCGUGCUACCGGGAGCUGCUGCGCUACCGCCUGGGCCGCCGGCUGCUGGAGCAGGCGCACGCGCCCUGGCUGUGGGACGCCUGGGGCCCGGACGGCUCGGACGCCGAGCCCUCGCCCAGCCCGGCGCCCAGGGCCGCGUCCGCGGAGGACGGCCGGCCGGCGGGGGAGCGCGGCGCGGAGCUGCGGGACGCCGAGGAGCCGAGCGCGGCGCGGCCAGCAUCGCCAGUAAAAGGCAUAGACGAGAAACCUGAACAGCAAGCCGGGACAAAAGAGGCUGACAGGGCGGCCAGCGGCCCGGAGCCCCGACAGCAUCCUGGUGUCUUAUUUGCCAAAGGAAGUAAGAAAGCCCCUGGAAGCCCCCAAAGGUCAACCAGCAAAACAAAAGAGAAGAAGCACCCAUUUGCCCUUUACGGCUGGGGAGAGAAACGGACGGACACGGGGAACCAGAAGACACACAACGUCUGCGCCUCAGCCUCUGUCCAUGAGAUUCACGAGUCAGCACUUCGAGCCAAGAACAGAAGACAGGUGGAGAGAAGGAGGCUGGCUGCCCAGAGGCAGCGGGCGCACUCUGCGGACGAGGAGAAGGGCCAGAGCGCAAAGCCGCCUCCCGCGGAGAACCCCUGGCUCACGGAGUACAUGCGCUGCUACUCGGCCCGGGCGUAGCUGCCCGACCUCCUCUCCGUGCGUUCACGCGGUCCCAACCUCCUCUCCGUGCUCACGCGGUCCCGACCUCCUCUCCAUGCGCGGCCAAGCGAGGCCGCUCACGGCUGGAAGAAACCGCCCUGCAGGGCCCCUCGGAGAGGCGGCUCCGCUUUCCUGGUGGUCGGCCGCCCGCCCUAAGUGGGGCCGACCAUGGAAGCCAUAUGUGUUGGCUUGCUUAUGAAGACAAGUCCCCAAGGCCUGACGUUCUCGCAGGAGUUUUAUUUCAGCGAUUUUAGUCUAAGGAGACCCCCACACCGAAUGCCUUUAACUGGCUCUAGGCGCUUCCUGUCCCCGCCCUCCUGCUGUCCUUUCUGACCCCACUCCACAGCUGGCAGGGCAUCCCCCAGUGCAGGACUCAGCGGCCCAUCUGUGCAGUCCGCCUUGCAGGGAGCGCCCAGGAAAGCGAGGGCAUCGCGUGGAUCAGAGCUGCUCCGGGCACACCGGCAGCUGCGGAGGCUACGCUGGUGUGUUUCACUGCAUCUUCACGUAGACUGUGAGACUGAAGAAGUUUCUGGCCAGAGCAAGGGUCACCCUUUCUCCUUAAAUCACCACCUAGGCAUUUCAUUCCUAUGUAGUUGACUCGUUCUGGUACACCCGACUUGUGCAAGACACAGCCCCAUAUCAUGAGGUGGAUCCGCUCCUGGGGCACAUCCCAGCAAGAACAUUUCGAAUAUGACAGCAUGAGGACCAGCUGCCCUUCACCCAGGCCUUCUAAGGCACCUGGGCCAGCACCAUGGAUGGUGUCCCGGGAAUGCAGUGAUUACUGAUCCUUAAUACUUCUUCUUGUAUGCAAAGCUGAAGACCCUUUAUUCACAAGAGCUUUUAAAUAAUUGAUAUUUUCUGAAGAUUUUUAAAAGCCUCUACAAGAAGCAGUUUCUGGUCAUCUCCAGGCAUUUUUUAGCUUCACGGACUUUUGGUUGGGGUCUGUAGGCAGCAGGAGACGGAGAGUUUAUGAAUCCUCAUUCCCGCUCUAUAGCUCAUCCUGGGUUUCCUAAAUAGUAACAAAGCUUCCUGUAUUUAGGGAAAGUUUCAUCCAUUGCUUUAGCUUAUUCUGAGUGCCACAUUCACUUCAGGGGCCCAGCGUGCUGCUGCUCACUUGGCUCACCUGUCCUUAACUUGUAUACCAAAGGAAACUGAGGCAACAGGGGACCUCAGGGUCACAGGUAGGGCAGGUCCAAACAGCACAGCCAGGACUUCAGGAAUUGAUGCCAAACUGGGGUCAUAGUGACAGGAAGUGGGUUCAAACAAUUCCACAGGGCUAACUAAAUGUGACAGCCACAGUGGUGCAGGGACGAGGUCAUGAGGCAGCCCCAGUGCAGGGGUGAGGUCCUGCCACUCAGCAUCCAGACUGGGGGCUCAGGAGGAAAGACAGAAGAUUCCGAUACAGGCACUAAUGUAGCCCUAAUAAGCAAUGAAAACGCUGAAAAGAUUAGACUGUGAAUGGUCAGGAAGGAAACAGAUGCCAUGGAGAACCAAGCGAAUGGGCAAGUGUGUGGGUGCACAUCUUAAUCCCAGACCUGGGGAGGCAGAGGCAGGAGAACUGCACCAUUGAAGCCAGCCUGGGCUACAGGGCAUUUCAGGUCAGUCAGGGUGACAGAGCAAGCCUGGACAAACAAAUCUGAAAUGAAAAUGGAACCGUGGCUGAGCACAGCUGGAGAAUCUCAGUGAAGGGAGAGGAGAGAGAUCCACCAGUCUGAGCAGCAGAAAGACGGAAAGAAGCAGAGCCUCGUGGGGUGUGGAAGACGGGAAAGACAAACAGCGAAGGCUUCGAAAGGUCAGAAUGAGCAAGGCUGGGAACCCCCAAACUAAUGAAAGGAGUGAACCCCGCGUGAGAGGGACCCAAAGAAGUGCGCUGAGCAAGCGCGGGCCCACCCAGUGCUGAGAGGCUGAGGCAGGGGGACUGAGACCAUUUCAGGUUAUGUCGGGUGCUCAGUCCCACAGACACCCAUUAGGCCACAUCCUCAAGCUGCCCAGAGCCAAGACGCCACGGAGUGCUCUAAGGAAGCCCUGUCGCACUGACGGUUUGAGUGAGGGCAGAUUCUUCACAGACCAUGGAAGCCAGAGGAAGUGGGUCAUCGGAGUGAAAGGAAAGUGUCCACUGGGAGCCCUGUAUCCAGGGCUGGGCACGUUGGCACGCACUGUAAUCCCAACAUGAGGGAGAUGGAGUUAGGACUGCCAUGACUAUGGGGCCCGGCUAGGCUGUAGUGAGACCCUGUCUCAAAUCUUACAGUGAGAUAUGUAACACUAAAAAUGUCUAAGCUGAAAGAGGGCUGGCUCAGAGAGGCUGAGAAGCAUUAAAAAUGCAAAAGCAGCAAACCGUAUCCAUGAGUACUGUGCUGCCUUGGCAUUUCCAUGGCAGCCGUGACUCGAAGACGCCGAGGCUUCCUGGGACCACCCGACUCUGCGGAAAGUGUGAGCGCCCCGCCCAGGGAGUGACGCAG